rnacentral:rRNA from 1 species
GAUGAACGCUGGCGGCGUGCCUAAUACAUGCAAGUCGAGCGAACAGACGAGGAGCUUGCUCCUCUGACGUUAGCGGCGGACGGGUGAGUAACACGUGGAUAACCUACCUAUAAGACUGGGAUAACUUCGGGAAACCGGAGCUAAUACCGGAUAAUAUAUUGAACCGCAUGGUUCAAUAGUGAAAGACGGUUUUGCUGUCACUUAUAGAUGGAUCCGCGCCGCAUUAGCUAGUUGGUAAGGUAACGGCUUACCAAGGCAACGAUGCGUAGCCGACCUGAGAGGGUGAUCGGCCACACUGGAACUGAGACACGGUCCAGACUCCUGCGGGAGGCAGCAGUAGGGAAUCGUCCGCAAUGGGCGAAAGCUUGACGGAGCAACGCCGCGUGAGUGAUGAAGGUCUUCGGAUCGUAAAACUCUGUUAUUAGGGAAGAACAAAUGUGUAAGUAACUAUGCACGUCUUGACGGUACCUAAUCAGAAAGCCACGGCUAACUACGUG